AGGCAUGGUUGCAAGGGAUGUCUC
rnacentral:siRNA from 1 species